UGAAGCGAAGCUCUGAAAAUACGUUUAAUGUCAAAACUUCUCAAGUUGUCUUAUAACCUGUUGUAGUCUUAUACAAAUAAUACAAACAAGAAAUGUAUUAAUUUACAGUCAAACAAGAUUUAAUUUCUCUCUUUACUGGUGUUGAGAUUAUUUCUGCUCCUCUGUCACUUUAUUGCUUAUUCACAGCUUUUUUCAUUGAAAUGACACAUCUGUGUCACAUAUAUGUUUUUAUCAGAAUUUAAAAUUUAAUUAAAAAUUAAAAAUAAAAAGAUAGCCAGGAUCACAUGUGUGUCCUGUUGUCUCGGGUAUUUUUUUUCAUAAAACAUGCGCUGGUGCAGAGCGAGCUUCUGGAAACCCAUAAAACCCUGAGGAGCAGUGGGUGCAUUGUUUAUGGUUUGUUUAAGAGCCCCUGUCUCAUACACAUUAAAUGAAAUGAGACAUAAUCCAUACACCUACAAAAUUAACUCAAUUUCAUAUGUUAGAUGAUAACUUUUUUCUCCUAUUUUUUUUUAUAUUUUGAGAUGCCAUAAACAUUGAAAGUUAAAUGUCUUAAAAUUUAAAAAAAAAAAAAAAAAAAAAGAAAAAGAAAUAUCUACAGCAACAAACAGAAACUCAAACUAUUGACUUAUGUUUCCAAAAUAACCUAAAGCUGCUGAUGCCUCAGACGAAAGAGGGGGACGUCUUACACCUCUCUCUCUCCCUCUCCCUCUCUCUCUCUCUCUCUCUCUCUCUCUCUCUCUCUCUCUCUCUCUCUCUCCCUCUCUCUAAAACAAAGACGCUUUGUCAUAAACAGGGUUAUUUUACCAAAAGGAGUCAAGGGGGCAACAUAUGUGGUCUUAACGGGUCAUAGGUCAAACACCCAUGAAACACAAGGUCACGGAAGCCACACAAGUAACCUUCCAGUGUGUCAACAUAUUGAUAUUGUCAGAUAACAGAGAGGAGAAAUGUGCCUUUGGCCCCAUUACAACACACAUCCAGGCAACGCGCCUUUAUAUCAUCAAGACCAUUGACUUUACUGAUAAUCUUAUAUGAAACUGGUACUUCCUGUCAGCUCUAACUGCACGGAUCACCACCUGAGUAAUAUUUUAUGUGAUUUAUAUUUUACAUCUGUAGGCCAUGUCUCAUUGUGGACUGCUGCUCCUAAAACCUGUUGAAAUACUGGUCUUUGGGGGAUUUUCAAUAGACUAGACCCCCUUUCUUCCCCACACAGAAGGGAAAACCCGCAGCCAUGUGCCUCUACCCGAUUGAUUUUUUUUUUCUUUUUAAUUCUCUUUCGCUUUUUUCCCUAUCUGGGGAAGGUUUUGUGGUUUUCCAGAGAAAUAAAGAACUUCUUAUAGGGGUCGGCAGACGUGACUUUGAACUUGGAUCAGCUCCUGCGUUUCCUGUGGUGCGGGUCGAAAUAGACUUGGAAGAAUGGCACACAACGCUCAGCCUGUCCCACUCCGAGCUAAGAGACACACUAUUUCUAAAAAAAAAAAAAAAAGAAAAAAAAAGUUUUUUAAACGUUUCCCUCGCCUUCACCAUUAUUUGUCGUUUACAGUCGGAGCACCGGAGAGUGAGAGAGGCGCAGAGCGGGGAGAGCUGGAGGGAUCUUGAUUUGGUGAAAAUGUUUAUCUAAUGAGACAGAAAUGAAAGAGGACAGGGAUCAAACCAGUUGCAGUCCCCAUGAUGCAGACUCUUAUUCACCAAAUAAUUGGGACAGCACUGAAAGAAGAGGACACAAUGGUCGCAGGUUUGCAGUCAGCUUAGUGGAGACCUGCACAUCCACAUUCUGCAGACCCAAGUCAUCAUGCCCACAUUUUCAGGAGGUUUGUCGGGAUCAUGGCUUGACAGGAUAAUCAUCAAGAGCUGCUGCCGAGGCUGGGGAGGCUUCAGCCCAGUGCCUCCCAGCUCCCAACGCCUGGGAUUCCCCUGGGAAGCAGCUGACUGGCACCCAGACUGCCAGCCAGAUGAUGGAUCCUACCAGGAGAAUCAGACGUGACAGGGGGAGGUGAGGCUGCAGGAGUCGCCACCACUGAACCUGAGGACGAGGGGCAGAUGCGGUCAGCUGCCUCAGCUCUGUGUGUGCAUACGUGUGUGUGUGCCUGUGUGUGACUCUUUGCAUGCAGAUAUGUUAUAUGUUAGCAUCUGUGUAGAUGCAUGCGUUUGAAUGCCCAGCCCAUGUCUGUGGGUGGUUAUUUUGGCACAUGUAGUUUUUUUUUUCACUCUAGUCACAUUCUCCAUCUGGACCUGAAGUAUUUCGUUAGCUGAAGAAUGUUACAUUUUAUUUUGAAAGCUGACAAAAUAUCAGCAGUGUUCGACUUUUAAUGUUUGUCAUGUCUGCUAUCGGACCUUCCAAAAACUGUGACAGAUGCCAAAUGACACAUGUUGAGGUUGAGCAUACGAAUCCAGUUGAAAAGAGACAAGUUAAAUGACAUGAAGAUUUUUACAUCAGAUCCUGAAUCUCCUUUCACAUAACUGCUAUCCACACAUGGAUCCAUUAUAUCUCUAAUGUAAAAUUUGUAAGUUUUAAUUAUUAAACAAUAAAAAAUAAAAAAAACAUGUUUAAAACCUUUUA